rnacentral:rRNA from 1 species
AGAGUCAUAUGUUUGUCUCAAGAUUAAGCCAUGCAUGUGUAAGUAAGAACUAUUUCAAACUGUGAAACCGCGAAUGGCUCAUUAAAUCAGUUAUAGUUUGUUUGAUGGUACGGCUACCGGAUAACCAUAGUAAUUCUAGAGCUAAUACGUGCAACAAACCCCGACUUCCUAAGGGAUGCAUUUAUUAGAUAAAAGGUCGACGGGGCUUUGCCUCGCCGUUCGGCGAUUCAUGAUAACUGACGGAUCGCACGGCCCUAGUGCCGGGCGACGAUCAUUCAAAUUUCUGCCCUAUCAACUUUCGAUGGUAGGAUAGGGUCCUACCAUGGUGGUGACGGGUGACGGAGAAUUAGGUUCGAUUCCGGAGAGGGAGCCCGAGAAACGGCUACCACAUCCAAGGAAGGCAGCAGGCACGCAAAUUACCCAAUCCUAAAACGGGAGGUAGUGACAAUAAAUAACAAUACCGGGCUCUUCGAGUCCGGGUAAUUGAAUGAGUACAAUCUAAAUCCUUUAACGAGGAUCCAUUGAGGGCAAGUCCGGUGCCGCCAGCCGCGGGUAAUUCCAGCCCCAAUAGUGUAUAUUUAAGUUGUUGCGCUUAAAAAAUGCUCAGAAGUUGGACUUUGGGAUGGGUCGGUCGGUCCGCCAUGGCAGUGUAACCUGGCCGUCCCAUCCCUUCUCGGUUUGGGCGAUGCAUGCCUGGCCUUAAUCGGUCGGGUCGUGGCUUCCCAUUGUUACUUUGAAGAAAUUAGAGUGCUUCAAAGCAAGCCCACGCCCGAUACAUUAGCAUGGGAUAACAUCACAGAUUUCGGUCCUAUUGUGUUGGCCUUCGGAUCGGAGUAAUGAUUAAGAGGGACAAAUGGGGGCAUUUGUAUUUCAUAGUCGAGGUGAUAUUCUUGGAUUUAUGAAAGACUAACCACUCGCAAAAAAGCAUUUGCCAAGGAUGUUUUCAUUAAUCAAGAACGAAAGUUGGUGGCUCAAGACGAUCGAUACCGCCCUAGUCUCAACCAUAAACGAUGCCAAUCGUGGAUCGGGCGGAUGUUGCUUUUAGACUCCGCCGCACCUUAUGAGAAAUCAAAGUCUUUGGGUUCUGGGGAGUAUGGUCGCAAGGGCUGAAACUUAAAGGAAUUGAUUGAAGGGCACCACUGUGAGGGAGCCUGUGGGCUUAAUUUGACUCAACACGGGAAACUUACUAGGUCCGCAUAUAGCAAGGAUUGACAGACCGAGAGCUCUUUUCUUGAUUCUAUGGGUGGUGGUGCAUGGCCGCGUUUUAGUUGGUGGAGCCAUUUGUCCGGUUAAUUCGGAGAACUAAACGAGACCUCAGCCGCUAACUAGCUACGGGGAGGCAUCCCUCCGCCGCCAGCUUUUUGAGGGACUAUGGCCGCUUAGGCCACGGAAGUUUGAGGCAAUAACAGGUUUGUGAUGCCCUUAGAUGUUCCCAAUCGCACGCUUACACACCGAUGUAUUCAACGAAGUUAUAGCCUUUGGCCGACAGUGCCCGGUAAUCUUUUGAAAAUUUCAUCGUGAUGGGGAUAGAUCAUUGCAAUUGUUGGUCUUCAAUGAGGAAUUCCUAGUAAGCUGAGUCAUCAGCUCGCUGCUGACUACGUCCCUGCCCUUUGUACACACCGCCCGCCGCCCUACCUACCGAUUGAAUGGUCCGUGAAGUGUUCGAUCGAGGCGAUCGGGCGUUCGCCGCCCGCCAUCGACGUCAUGAAAGUCCACCGAACCUUAUCAUUUAGAGGAAGGAGAAGUCGAAUAAGGUUUCCGAGGGUGAACCCGCGAAGG